rnacentral:rRNA from 1 species
ACGGAAGGUCCUAGCGUUGUUCGGAAUUACUGGGCGUAAAGAGUAUGUAGGCGGAACAGAAAGUUAGAAGUGAAAUCCCUGGGCUCAACCUAGGAAUUGCUUUUAAAACUUCUGUUCUUGAAUUCAGGAGAGGAUAGUGGAAUUUCCAGUGUAGAGGUGAAAUUCGUAGAUAUUGGAAGGAACACCAGUGGCGAAGGCGGCUAUCUGGACUGACAUUGACGCUGAGAUACGAAGGCAUGGGUAGCAAACGGG